rnacentral:rRNA from 1 species
CCCUUAGACACUCUAGGCGGCACGCGCGCUACAAUGGGUGGAAGACUGUGUUACUGCCCUCGAAAGAGGGGGUGAAUCACGAAUUCUCACCCGUGAAUGGGAUAGUUUGUUGCAAUUUUCGGACUUGAACUAGGAAUUCCUUGUAAGCAUGCUCAAGAAUAGUGUGCUGAAUACGUCCCUGCCGUUUGUACACACCACCCGUCGUUUCUUCCGACUGAUACGAAUUGUGAGUUGCAAGGACCUUCAGGGGGAAUUGCCGCGAAUGCUUCGUAUUGGAGGAAGAAAAAGUCGUAACA